rnacentral:rRNA from 1 species
UACAGAGGUCUCAAGCGUUGUUCGGAUUCAUUGGGCGUAAAGGGUGUGUAGGUGGCGCCGUAAGUCGGGUGUGAAAUUUCGGAGCUUAACUCCGAAACUGCAUUCGAUACUGCGGUGCUUGAGGACUGGAGAGGAGACUGGAAUUCAUGGUGUAGCAGUGAAAUGCGUAGAGAUCAUGAGGAAGACCAGAGGCGAAGGCGGGUCUCUGGACAGUUCCUGACACUGAGACACGAAGGCCAGGGGAGCAAACGGG